UACGUAGGGUGCGAGCGUUAAUCGGAAUUACUGGGCGUAAAGCGUGCGCAGGCGGUUCGUCGUGUCCGAUGUGAAAGCCCCGGGCUCAACCUGGGAAUGGCAUUGGAAACUGGCGGACUCGAGUGUGGCAGAGGGGGGUGGAAUUCCGCGUGUAGCAGUGAAAUGCGUAGAGAUGCGGAGGAACACCGAUGGCGAAGGCAGCCCCCUGGGCUAACACUGACGCUCAGGCACGAAAGCGUGGGGAGC
rnacentral:rRNA from 1 species